CGGGAAACUGGGGAUAAUACCCUAUAGACUAUGGAUGCUGGAAUGCUCUGUAGCCGAAAGGUCCGCCGCUGUAGGAUGGGUCUGCGGCCGAUUAGGUUGUUGUUGGGGUAACGGCCCAACAAGCCUGUAAUCGGUACGGGGUGUGGGAGCAAGAGCCCGGAGAUGGAUUCUGGGACACGGAUCCAGGCCCUAAGGGGCCGCAGAAGGCGCGAAAACUUUCAAAUGCGGGAAACCGUGAUAAGGGAACUCUGAGUGCCCGUAAAAUCGGGCUGUCCAUCAGUUUAAAUAACUGGUGAAGAAAGGGCCGGGCAAGACCGGUGCCAGCCGCCGCGGUAACA
rnacentral:rRNA from 1 species